AAACCUUUACAAUGCACGCAAGUGUGAUAAGGGAAUCCUAAGUGCUUAUGUUUUACAUGGGCUUUUGCCAAAGGUAAAUACCUUGGAGAAUAAGUGGUGGGUAAGACUGGUGCCAGCCGCCGCGGUAACACCAGCGCCACGAGUGGGGAUCAUGUUUAUUGGGCCUAAAGCGUCCGUAGCCGGUUUUGUAAAUUUUUUGUGAAAUUGUUGGGCUUAACUUAACAGCGUGCAGGARACACUGCUAGACUUGGAACCGGGAGGAGUUAGAAGUAUUCUUGGGGGAGCGGUAAAAUGUUAUAAUCCCAGGAGGACCACCUGUGGCGAAGGCGUCUWACUAGAACGGAUUCGACGGUGAGGGACGAAAGCUAGGGGAGCAAACCGGAUUAGAUACCCGAGUAGUCCUGGCCGUAAACGCUGCGAGCAAGGUGUUGCAUAUUCUCCGAGAUUGUGCAGUAUCGAAGGAAGAUGUAAGCUCGCCGCCUGGAAAGUASGUCGCAA
rnacentral:rRNA from 1 species